rnacentral:tRNA from 4 species
GCCAGCUUAGCUCAGUGGUAGAGCAACACUUUUGUAAAGUGAAGGUCCCGAGUUCGAAUCUCGGAGCUGGCUCCA